rnacentral:tRNA from 1 species
GAAAUAUGAUGUUCAAGUGAAAGCUGCUAACUUAUCACUUUAGCGGUUAAAUUCCGUUUAUAUUUCU